GUGAAUCAUCGAAUUUUUGAACGCAAAUUGCACUCUCCGGUUUUCCGGGGGAGUAUGCUUGUUUGGGGGUCUGCCUAAAAUAAAUCGUCAUUGUUGCUGUUUUAUGGUGGCUUUCGGCGUAGAUGAGUUAUCUUAAAUCGCGGUUUAAGCGACUUAAAAAUUUUUUUUACGAUUCUAAGAAUGUUUCUAAGAUUUUUCUUGGACGUUUAAGGUAUCGAAUGUCUUAUUAGACGGGGCCGGCAUAUCGGAUCGUUUCCAUAA
rnacentral:misc_RNA from 1 species